AAAACACUAGUAAAAUUUGCCAUUACACUGCCUUGUCAAGGCAAAGUUGUGGGUUAAACCCCCGCGUGUUUUG
rnacentral:tRNA from 1 species